rnacentral:lncRNA from 1 species
GCGGAGCCUACUAGUAGGCGCAGAGGACGCCCCCGCGCAGGAUCCAGAGACCAAGGGCGCUCUGGCAUGGUCAAGGCGAGGGAGGCUGCCCGGGGGAGAAGCCCCUAACUUCCUUUGCUCCCUGUUCCAACCUCCCUUUCUGGUCUCCUCUCUCCAGCCCGUCCGCCCAACGGAUGCGCAGCGUUGGGGCCCGGCCGGAGGUCGGAGCCCUCGGACGCCGCAGCCCUCGGACGCCGCUCAGCACAGCCCCUCUCUCCGUGCGCCCGCCCUGGACCCCCUCCAUCCCUAAGCCCCGGCAGCCGAUUCGGAGACUCGGGAGGCCACAGGCUCAGCGCGACACCACGACCACAACUAGGAGGCACCAUCGUCGAUCUACCUGGGGAGGCACCUACAAAGCCAGCAGACUGACACCCGUGUCCUAGCCGUCGGCGGCCUGCGAAGCGAUAGUCAAAGGAACCAGGACCCAGGACCCCGGCGCUCUGCUUACCCGCAGACCUCCG